rnacentral:rRNA from 1 species
AGCAGCCGCGGUAAUUCCAGCUCCAAUAGCGUAUAUUAAAGUUGUUGCAGUUAAAAAGCUCGUAGUUGAAUUUCGGGGUUAGUAGGCUGGUCGUGCUUCGGUACGUACUUGCAUUAUUGGUUUCUCCCUUCUGACGAACCAUGAUGUCAUUAAUUUGAUGUCAUGGGGAAUCAGGACUGUUACUUUGAAAAAAUUAGAGUGUUUAAAGCAGGCUCGCGCUUGAAUACAUUAGCAUGGAAUAAUGAAAUAGGACGUUUGAUUCUAUUUUGUUGGUUUCUAGGAUCGACGUAAUGAUUAAUAGGGAUAGUUGGGGGCAUUAGUAUUCAAUUGUCAGAGGUGAAAUUCUUGGAUUUAUUGAAGACUAACUACUGCGAAAGCAUUUGCCAAGGAUGUUUUCAUUAAUCAAGAACGAAAGUUAGGGGAUCGAAGACGAUCAGAUACCGUCGUAGUCUUAACCAUAAACUAUGCCGACUAGGGAUCGGAUGAUGUUAAUUUUUAAUGACUCAUUCGGCGCCUUAC